GAUGAACGCUGGCGGCGUGCCUAAUACAUGCAAGUCGAGCGAACAGACGAGGAGCUUGCUCCUCUGACGUUAGCGGCGGACGGGUGAGUAACACGUGGAUAACCUACCUAUAAGACUGGGAUAACUUCGGGAAACCGGAGCUAAUACCGGAUAAUAUAUUGAACCGCAUGGUUCAAUAGUGAAAGACGGUUUUGCUGUCACUUAUAGAUGGAUCCGCGCCGCAUUAGCUAGUUGUUAAGGUAACGGCUUACCAAGGCAACGAUGCGUAGCCGACCUGAGAGGGUGAUCGGCCACACUGGAACUGAGACACGGUCAAGACUCCUACGGGAGGCAGCAGUAGGGAAUCUUCCGCAAUGGGCGAAAGCCUGACGGAGCAACGCCGCGGGAGUGAUGAAGGUCUUCGGAUCGUAAAACUCUGUUAUUAGGGAAGAACAAAUGUGUAAGUAACUAUGCACGUCUUGACGGUACCUAAUCAGAAAGCCACGGCUAACUACGUG
rnacentral:rRNA from 1 species